rnacentral:rRNA from 1 species
AACGAACGCUGGCGGCGUGGAUAAGACAUGCAAGUCGAACGGGAUUAUUUUUGUAGCAAUACAGAAAUAAUUCAGUGGCGAACGGGUGCGUAACACGUGGGCAAUCUGCCGAAAAGUGGGGGAUAGCUCGCCGAAAGGCGAAUUAAUACCGCAUGUGGUGAGGGACGACAUCUUCCUGAAUCCAAAGCCGGGGCAACCUGGCGCUUUUUGAGGAGCCCGCGGCCUAUCAGCNGUUGGCGGGGUAACGGCUCACCAAGGCUAUGACGGGUAGCUGGUCUGAGAGGACGACCAGUCACACUGGAACUGAGACACGGUCCAGACACCUACGGGUGGCAGCAGUCGAGAAUUUUUCUCAAUGGGGGCAACCCUGAAGGAGCGACGCCGCGUGGAGGAUGAAGGCUUUCGGGUUGUAAACUCCUGUCAUUUGUAGAACAAGGUGCGAGUAUUACUGUACUCGCAUUGAUAGUAU